AACGAACGCUGGCGGCGUGCCUAACACAUGCAAGUCGAGCGAGAAAGCCCGCAAGGGUGAGUACAGCGGCGCACGGGUGCGUAACACGUGAGUAAUCUGCCCUGGAGCCCGGAAUAACCUCCCGAAAGGGAAGCUAAUGCCGGAUGAGCCCACGGGGUCUUCGGACCCAGAGGGAAAAGGCGGCCUCUGUAUACAAGCUGUCACUUCAGGCUGAGCUCGCGGCCCAUCAGCUAGUUGGCGGGGUAAUGGCCCACCAAGGCUACGACGGGUAGCUGGUCUGAGAGGACGAUCAGCCACACUGGAACUGAGACACGGUCCAGACUCCUACGGGAGGCAGCAGUGGGGAAUCUUGCGCAAUGGGCGAAAGCCUGAUGCAGCAACGCCGCGUGUGUGAUGAAGGUCUUCGGAUCGUAAAGCACUGUCGCGAGGGACGAAUAAGGCGCACGCUAACAUCGUGCGACGAUGACGGUACCUCGAGAGGAAGCACCGGCUAACUCUGUGCCAGCAGCCGCGGUAAUAC
rnacentral:rRNA from 1 species